CACAGCACUCAGUUCUGACAGAGUUGCACAGGGAUUGGAUGGGUAACAUUUGAACUUCCUCACAAGCCCAUCCAAUCCCCAUGUGUCUUUAUCGGGACAUAACUUCACUGACAAAUGAGUGUGCAGAAAGCUGUGUAGAGCAAAGUAGGCAGCUGAAAUCCCACCCUCUCUUCUAAAGUCUGCAGCCCUGGGAGAACAGGGGGCCGGCUAGUCAAGCAAGUGCAACAGGACCGGGCCCCUCAAGGAUAAUUAGCAAAGUAUGAAAUAUGUUACUGUUUUGGCCCUCCUUUAAUCUGUCGCUAAUUGGUAUGUUCUGUGAUAAUAAUAAUGAAAGUCAUGUGACAGAAGCAGAUAUCUAGGAGGGGAAAAAGACCUGCAAUACAGAGAAGUGAGAAGAUGUGAUCUAACUUUACUUAUCUGUUUUACGAUCAAUUUCAUCAAAAUUCUAUUUUACGAAUGGCCGAAGCAGAUAAGCAGGAGGGAAAAAACCAUCUGCAGUAUUCAAAGAAGAAGUGAAGUGAGAAGACUUUACUUAUCCAUUUUACAAUCAAUUUAAUCAAAAUUCAAUUUUACUAAUGGAUGUUCUUAUAGAAUUUUUUUCAAAAAGUCCAUUGAAAAUUAGAAUUUUUAUGCCAGUUGCUUUGUAUUGUGCGGACUCGGCCUAGUUAUAAUACUAGCAUGCCUAUAUCAAUGUAUAUACACAUUUGAAGUGCACAAAAAGAUAAUAGCAUGUUGGAGGCACACUCAAAAGGAUGAGGAAGAACCUGAGGAAGAACUAUAUGGGCCUUGUUCUUAUUGGUCUGGGUGGGAACUAUAGCUUGAUUGUAUCAAUACUACAUCAAUCAAACUGUUUUUCAGGGAGCGCAAGCGAGGGAAAAAGAAGAAUUAAGUAAAAUGGUGUCGCUUACAUCUCUUACAGCUCUCAAAAAUGUUAAGGGACUGUUAAGGCAAACAGAAUCGAUAAUGAAGUUCGAUAAUACAGUUGAUAAAGAACUGAUAAAACAUGAAAAGCAAAUUUGUUGGUAAGGUGUGUACAACACAGAACCUACCACCGAAGAAUAGAAUUGGUUGUGCAAGCCUACAAAGCAUGUGAAGAAGUGUCUGUGCCAAUACAUGGGACCAACAUGCAUCGUUUGGAUAUUUCAUUCUAAGUACUCCAUUUACUACUGAGCACAGAGCUUUUUCCAAAAGCUAUCCCUGAUGAAAAGUGUGCUAGUGGGCCCCCUAUCCUGGUGGGUGAUGGGCAAAUGCCCCUUUUGCCCAUUUUUCAAAAUGGCCCUGGUCUUAAGCAUUUUGAGAUAACCAAUCCCACACCUGGACAAUGUUUGUUAAGUUGUUACUUUUAAAAUACUUUCUAAUAAAAACAUUGUUAACAAAAA